AACCCAACUCCAGCCUCUUGGCCCACAACCCAAAACAAACAACAAUCCAACAUCCUCCGCACCUGCGUUGCGUGUUAGAAUCGAAACUCCACAGUCCAGUGAGAGGAAGAGAAAGCAUGAAGUUCACAGACUCGCCGGUGAUCGAGCUUGCGGUGAACGACGCCGUUCUGUCGCUUCAGCAAGACAACGGGUCCAUGCACGUGGGAACCACCGUGUGGCCAUGCUCCCUCGUCCUCGUCAAAUUCGCGGAGCGCUGGGGCCCACCCUCUGACAACAACCCCUACGCUCGCGUGCUCGACUUCCAAGGCAAGCGGGCCGUGGAGCUCGGCACGGGCUGCGGCGUGGCGGGAAUGGGCCUCUACCUGUUGGGCCUGACGGACCUGCUCCUCACCGACAUCGCACCCGUCAUGCCGGCCCUGAAGCGCAACCUGAAAGUCAACAAGCCCAUCCUCCGCAAGUCCCUCAAACACUCCGUGCUCUACUGGAACAACCCGCAGCAGAUCGCUGCCCUAAAUCCUCCCUUCGAUUUCGUUAUCGCAACCGAUGUCGUUUACAUUCCGGAAUCUGUUCCUUCCUUGGUUUCUGCAAUGGAAACCCUCGUCUCUGACGACGGCGUCGUUUUGCUUGGGUACCAGCUUAGGGCACCCGAGGCGCACGAGCUUUUCUGGGAACUGUGUCAACAAGUCUUCCACGUUGAGAAAGUCCCGCACGAGCAUCUGCAUCCCGAUUACGCUUACGAAGAAACCGAUGUUUAUCUGUUGAAGAAGAAAAACAAGAAACAGUGACUGAUUAUAGCUAAUAGGUAUUGAGGUAAAGACAAAUCUUGGGAAUUGGCUAGAGGCAGUGGGUGUGAUAGAAAGUUGUUAGCCGUGGUGUUUAUGUUGACCCUUCAAAUGAUUGCCAACAAAGGAUCCUGGAAUAUACCUGAGACGCGUGUGCUUGCUGCUGUUUUUGUCUUUGUUUUUCUGAGCUUUAGGCUCCCUUGACAUAAGGGGGAAAAAGUUAGUGAAUGGAGGGUAUUAAAUAUGAGAGUAAAGCUACCUAUAUCUAAUUGUUACAUAAAUUUUAUUAUUUAAUCAUAGCUCAUUUAACCUUCUUUUUAAUCAUUAAUAUUCGGAUUCUGGUAUAUGUCCCAUGUGUGAGUAGGAGUGUGCAGACCUGGUUUGCAAUACAUCUUAUUGUAAAUAAAUGAAUAUGCAAAUCAUAGGCAAAUACAAAUUUCUUAUGGUUGAAGGUAUGGCUCUGCAAGACUUGGUUUGGUGGCAUAAAGUAGUAGACUUGAUUGCACCACAAGUCAAUACACCAUCAGUAUUAUUUUAUUUUAGUACAAACAAGCUACCGAAUGGCAGAUGGUGAAUAGUCUGCCACUGAUGUAAGAACAAGACCGAGAAGAAGACGCAGAUGAAGAGAAGCUGACUAUUUAUGUGUGCACUUUGCCCUUUCUGUAUACAAAGAUAAUUUUGAUUUCAUGCAUCAUCGAAUAUAAAUGUUAGUUAAUCGAUUCCCAGUUGUUA